rnacentral:tRNA from 1 species
GCGGUUGUGGCGGAAUGGCAGACGCGCCGGAUUUAGGUUCCGGUGUCUUUAUGAUGUAUGGGUUCAAGUCCCUUCAACCGCA